rnacentral:rRNA from 1 species
GUGUCAGCAGCCGCGGUAAUACGUAGGCAGCGAGCGUUGUUCGGAGUUACUGGGCGUAAAGGGUGUGUAGGCGGUGCUUUAAGUUUGGUGUGAAAUCUCCCGGCUCAACUGGGAGGGUGCGCCGAAUACUGAAGUGCUAGAGUAUGGGAGAGGAAAGUGGAAUUCCUGGUGUAGCGGUGAAAUGCGUAGAUAUCAGGAGGAACACCUGUGGUGUAGACGGCUUUCUGGACCAUAACUGACGCUGAGACACGAAAGCGUGGGUAGCAAACAGGAUUAGAUACCCUGGUAGUCCACGCCCUAAACGAUGCAUAUUUGGUGUGGGCCAUUCAUUUGGUCCGUGCCGGAGCUAACGCGUUAAAUAUGCCGCCUGGGGAGUACAGUCGCAAGGCUGAA